UAUUAUCACCUGGUCACCUAAUGAGAAGGCGACGUCGCCAUCAGGUGGACCACCUGUUAGCGACGUCGCCUUCUCAUUAGGUGACCAGGUGAUAAUA
rnacentral:pre_miRNA from 1 species